UCUCCAAGGACCCGGGCGGCCCGGAACCCAGGGUGCGGCAGGAAAAGCGGUUGGGAGUGACGCAUCGCGGGCCAGGGGAGCCGUCUGACCACAGCCGCUCAGAGGAUGUGAGACAUGAGGGCACUGCAAUAGCCCUGCGCCUGGCAACAGGGGGAUGAGCACGGCUGGCCCUGCCGGGGGCGCUGCCCCCACGCAGGUGGGAAGCGGCUAAAGGACCGGUCCCAGAGCCCUCGGGCUGCUGCUUCAUCCUGAAGACUUGGAGGGUGGCAGCGGUCGCCCCCCCUGGGUAUUGCCAGAGGCUUUUUGGCUCCGAGGGCUCCACGGCUUCCCAACCCGGAUCCUGAGGCCUGCAAGCCACCCUCGACACCUGCCCCAGGUCGCAUGCUCCACGCUCUGCGCUCCUGAGCUUCUGAAAUGUUUCUAAAAACCAAACCAAACCAGACACUGGCACUGCCUCCUUGAUGCCAUCCUGAUGUGUCAGUUUACUCCUCCUGCAGGUGCCAAGGUUUCAGUCACGGGCGCCUACCCUCCUCCGCCACGUCUCCCCCUCACCUCCAGAUUCCCAUCAUGCUGUGAGCCUCCAAGUCCUGUCCCAGGGACCCUCCUCCACAGCCAGCGGGCUGGUGAGGACCUGCGUCCACUCCACUCUGCCCUCAGCGGCUCCCUCUGCACUACCCAGAUGUGCUCGGCCUCCCGAGCCCAGGUCUCCACCUCGGGGAGGCAGGAGCCUCCUUGCCUCUCCGCCUCCCCACGGACCUGCCCCUCUGC